GUUAUUCAGCAAAAAUACUAACCCAAAAUUUCUCAAAAUCUGCCUUAAGCCCAAUUGGACAUUGACCCAUCCCAACAUUAAACCCCUAAUAUUAUCUCACCUCUCACCCAAACUAACAUCUCAUUUCUCCCAUUUGCAAACGCUGAUAUCCAACUGACCACCAGAUAAUGGCAAAUUCUGGUGUUCUUAGCCUUUCCCACCCAUCUUUUCUCUGUUUAUCUUCCCCAUCACUGCACUCAUCUCUCUCACAGCUUUUGUCUUCUCAAAACAAAGCUACAAAGCCCUUAAUAUCCACUGCCACUUUUGGAAAAGGUGGCAGAAUUAAAGAAUCAUCGAAUAUGAGUCUGUUAUACCUCAAAAUCGAUGGUCCAAGUCUUCCACCUUGAAUUAGCGCCUUUUUCUCUCAUCACAUCAACCUGAAAAAGGUGAACGAUUAAUAAUCAACCUUUCUCUUCUUCCAAUUUGGCCCCUCUAUUUCUCUUUGAGAUUUGGGCUUUCCAAGAAUUCAAAAUUUGAAUUCUUGAAGCCUCUAUUGAUAACCGAUGUAGCACCCUCAAAUUUGGCUAUAAAAGGAGACUUUGGUCUCCCAUUUAUGAUGAGAAAAAAAAUCAACAAGAACAACCAAGAAUUAGCAUCUAUCAAAUUAGCAAAAGCAUCACCAAAUUGGUAUUGCUCCCUAUUUUCUUGUUCCCUUUCCGAGUUUGAAGUCCGAGUUUGAUUUUGGAUCUCCGACGAGGAAGCCUUAGAUCGUUGCCCCAAAAAAGCCUGAUACUUGAAGGGUCAGCUACCACAUUGGUAUGGUACGUGCACUGAGCUCGCCCUAUAUAGGAUCAGUUGUGGUUUAUCAUUUGAUGCAGCUGGUAUUCACAACAGUUUCAACUCUUUCCAUUCAGUGGGAGUUGUGUCCUUGUUUGUCGUUAUUAUUUUUGAGCUCUUGUACUUGUCUAGGCUAGGGCUUGGGUAGUGUUUAUUUCUGAAGAUGUAAAGAAUGUCGUCAAUGAAUUUAGACUUGUUUAACUUUAUUGUAUUAUUGCCUAAAAGAAUUAUGUUUAUUUCUGCAUAUAUGGAUGGGUAGUACGGGCUCUCUUAUCUAGUUAGAUUGGAAUAGGUGCCCGCACGAUCCAAUGAUUUAGAUUGUAACAAAAAGUCUACAUGAUAGUUCCUCAAGGAAUCCGUGACAUUGGUGCUCAAUAAAUAAAGUGAAAAAUGAUCAAGUC